UCUGCCAUGGCUUACCUCAGCACCUGCUCUUGGCCCCAGCCCUUCUGGCAUGGCGGACUUGGUUUGUCUCUUCCUUUGUCCUAUCAGAGCAGUUUUCCUUUUCCUGCCCGGAUGCUGAUUUACGCGAGAGGCAGAACAUUCUCGCUACAGUUUGGUAGCUCCUGCCAAGUGCCUGUCAGAACGUCUGUACCUGUUUAGCUAGGACCCCCGGGAACGUCUGUUUACUCUCAGCCUGGCGCGAUUUGCCUUGCCAAUCUGAUAAGCGAGUCUAAUAGCCAUUUUCACUUGUCUAAUUAAAAAACACAUUUUCAUCUUUUCUCAUGCUUAUUGGUUGUUCGAGUUCCUUAUUUGUGGGCUACCCGUUCAUAUCCUUUAUCUAGUUUUCUAUCAAUUGGUAGGUCUUUUUUUUUUUCUUGUUGCCUUGCAACGCAUUAAAUCCCUCCUUUGUUAGGCUGGAACUGGGCAGUCCCACCCUUCUCUUCAUGGGCGUUGUCCUCUGUCAGGCAGAGUUAGAGGUUUUGAUGUUAGAAAGAAAUCCACCCCCCACCCCAGAACCACGGGAAGGUGGCGUACCAGCCUGUGUGCUAUGGGGAGGUCUCUGGUUUCCUCCGGUCUCGACCCUGUCAGCUGUCUCCAUUCUUCUGCUUUCAAACGGGAAUUCAGAUGGGACACAGAGGAUGGGCACUUCCAGGACAGGGCGUGCUUUCGUGAAACUCCAUUUAGCCCAGAAUUCAGUCUGUUGAAGUAAGUACAUCAGGUGCAAGAAUAUGUAUAGGGACCAAGAACCCCUGAACCUGCACAGGUCAGUAGGGGGGAGGUGACACCCUUCAGUGUAUGCUCUCUAGGGAGGGAGGAAAGUCCCCAAAGCUGGACCCAGCUGGAGUUGACCACUACCACCUCUGUUCUUUAUAUCUUGGUUUGGGGGUCUCUGAGCUGGCCCUUCUAGAGAGCUCACCACUACCUAUAGCUCUUUAUGCUCUGUUUUGGGGGUUCCAUUGGUUAGUCUGUCCCAUGCUAACCUCCUAUCAAAUCAUGGGACCAAACAAGUCAGAGACGAGGAUCCAUGGGCAGGGGGAUGUAGGGACGUUCACAGUGCCAUUAGGGCACUCUCUGGGCUCUGCUCACCAUUGUGAGGGUGUCGCUCAGUGGGGUGGCUGCGAGGUUCUCAGUGGCUCUAUUUAUGAGGCUAAGUGUAACUAACAAAUCUUGUCAAAAAGUAGUGUGAUUAGGAAACUGUAUUUUUCCCCGCACGGAGAGUCUGAAGGUAGCUGGCUUGGGGAGGGAUUUAGUAACCUAAAGGUCAUACUCUGUGGGGUUUUCUUGCUUAUAAAAAAUAACCACCGUUGAUGACCUUGGCACAUCCCGGGAACACAGGGCACAUGGUGGCAUCCAGGGAACAGAACGCAGGACACAUGGCAGUGUCACAGGACACAUGAUGGCAGCAUGAAGGGAACAGAGGACACAAGGCAUAUCACAGGGCACAUGGCGGCACGCAGGGAGCACAGGGCACCCGACAGCGUUUAGCCAGGCGUACCUCUCAUCUUCCCAGAACUUGUCCUCACACCUCAGCAGAUGCUCAUCUGUUUCCUCUGACUGAAAGGAGCUCACUCCAAAGGACAGGAAACCAGAAACUGUCCCUCAGCUAAGGGACAUCCAGCCACGUCUGCCCCAGGGCAUCGCUCCUGCCCCUCAUGUUUGCCUGCUUGAACCAACUCCCAUGAGUGGAUCUGCUCACCGGAUCUGCUUCGAGGUCACAUGGUUCAGUCUGCAUCCUGUGAAUGGGCAGGGGAAAGUGAGUGAGGGCUUGCCAGUGUGUAUGUACCGGGAGGUGACACUGCGGUGUCCGAGUCCUCAUUGCUGGUGUAGUGACAACUCAUGGCAGUGUCUGAAGGGGAGCCUCUGCAGGGCAUGGGUUGCCAACUUCUCACCUCCUCACCAGCGAGCCAUGGAGAGACUCCGACCCUGUCAUGCCUGUGACUGCCCACUUGGAAAUGGAAGCAAAGUUGCCACUGUCACUCUAGCCCAGCAGAGUGCCCAGCAGCUGAAGCAGGCGUUCAGAAAACCCCACUUCCCACCUCUGCCAGAGUAGAGGUCGCUGUGAAGGUCAGUGGUGACUCGUCCCCUUCAUCCCGAGUCCUUGUCCAUUCCUGCUGGGCUGACUGGAGGCCGUCUCCUCAUGGCUUAUGAUCCCCCACGAACCCAUUACCAGCGCCGGAGUCAGAGUUUCACAGGCUCGUGGCCUCUGUGUGCCAAAACAGAUUCAGUUUGGAAGCAGGCCAGAUGCUUACAGCUCCAAAAUGGCUUGGCAAAGUGUCUGAGACACGGCUUGUGGUUGGUGCUGGGUGAAAACGCUCCCACAUUUGUUAGUGAUUAACUGGUCUGCAGAUGGAGCUCAGUGCACCUCUGCGACCCACAGAUAAACCAGCUCAUUCCUGACAAUCAAAGCAGUUGUAAGAAUCCUCCAGCACAGGGUCCUCCCCCAGCACAGGGGUGCUCUAACUCAUGGUCCCCCCAGCACAGGGGAGCUCUAGCUCAUGGUCUCCCCAGCACAGGGGUGCUCCAGCUCAUGGUCCCCCCAGCACAGGGAUGCUCUAGCUCAGGGUUACUGGGAGGAGAAUAUCACCAGAGAAAGAAGGGAGCCUAGACUGUGAAAGCAGAGUGUGAGGCAGGCCCUGGGAAGGCCUGGGCAGGCCAAUGGCUAUGUGUUGUUUCUGGAGUCUGUGGCUUUCCUGGAACCCCCUUCUUGUGGGAAAGACACAAAGUGACAGGGAGGAGGGGUCUGGAAGUUGGGGGCCCUUGCAAACCUUACGCAGCAGCAGGUACGUGCUUAAGCUCAGGGCCAAUAAAUAUGGAUGAGAAGCAGCCAUCAGGUUGAACUUCACUCUUUAGAUGGAAUGUCCCUGGGCUCUUGAGAGGCAAAGAACCCAGAGAUUAAGGCCAGGGGGACAGCCACAGGCCACGGCCACCUAGCUUAGUGAAUGUGACGGGUGGGGAUCACAGGUAGUUACACAUUUGAGUAACAUUCAGGAAAGACAUACCGUCAGGGAGUAAGGCUUCCUCUGGGCAUCCUUUCUCACCGCAGGGAAAGGCGUGCAUGGCAGAGUCCCUGGUGGCUCCUCGCUGUGGCUGCCGGAAUCUCCCAGUGCUUGCUUAGAUCCUAGAGCAGUGGUUUUCAAUCUCUCCAUUGUGACCCCUUUGGGGAUCACAUAAGAAUCUGUGUAUCAGAUUCUUACGUUAUGAUUCAUAACUGUAACAAAACUACACCGCAACAUGAGGAAGUGUAUCAAAGGGUCGCAGCAUUAGGAAGGUUGAGAACCACUGGACUAGAGCCUCAGGAAACUGGCAGCCCUGUUGUAACAGGGGUGGGGCUAAUGAAGGCCCACCCACCAGUGACUCACUUCCUCCAACUAGACCCCGUAUCAGACGGAUUCUAAAAUCCUCCAAACAGAACCGCUGUCAGGACACUACGUGAUCAGGCACAGGAACCCAAGGGACGGUUCACGCUAAGUGUGUGGAAAUUGAUCUGGAUCCUUAUGGCAGAGGAGAGAUGGUGGGUAAGACACUCAGAGUAGCUCACACACCUCAGAAGUUGCCAGUGUAAUCUCACUGAGCAGAAAGAAACCUUUUCAUAACUUAAAAAAAUAAUGAAUUUUGUGGGCGAUAGUUUUUAUUUUUUAAACCUAUGAUUGACCAGUGUGGCCCACGUGAAGAGGCAACAGACAGAUUCACCAUGGCACUGUUUACUUCAUUGAGAAAGUGGAAGUCACUGGGACAGAAAAGACUCUACUGCUAUACAGCUCCAACACUGGGCAUCCACCUGUCUCCAGGAAUGGCACCUCUUACUCGCCUUCUCUCUGAGCCCUGGAUGGAACGGAAAAGCAAGUAAGGAGAGAACAGGCUGGGCCAGGCUGCAGGAACAAACGGUGGCAUCCAUAAGAAGAGGGCCCUCGCUAUCCCUUCCCUUCCCCCAUCGUCCCCAUCUGGGACAUGGAUUGAGGGUGGCUUUCUUCCUGUUCCCACAGGAGCACAGGCAGGGCAUUUGCGCACACAGCUCAGCGUUUACUCUUCUGCCCUGAUGUGACACACACAGGAAGUAGGAGAGUGACAGUCCCCAUCGUCACCCCUGACUGUGGAGUGGCUUCCACCAGACACUUUCACAGAGCACGGAGUGAUGGAAGCCCCACAUGUGUGUCUGGUCAUCCCAGGUCCCCUGUGUGCCCGUGUGCUGUGGCCGCUAAGAGGGCAGUGCUUCUUCCUAACACUGCCUUGUGCGGGGCACAGCUGGAGAGGGGGCAUCUGAUUUCAGCCUGUGUCCCGGUCCGACCACAGCGCUGAUUUAAGCGCACAGGCCUCCUUCCCAGGCAGGGUCCUCUGAGCUCACUGGUUCCCUCUGCUCUGUUUGUCUUCCAGGCUCUGCUUCAUCCACCGUCCAAUUACGCAAGACGUCCUGACCGAGCAGCAACCAGCACAGGACCUCCUCUCCACUGACACUUGGUGCUGCGGGUCUCAUUCCUGACUGACAGGGCCAGCGACUUCUCUUGUCAAGCCUGGUCUUCUCCAAGAUACAAAUGACAAGAUGGGCAACCGAAGGCUGCAUGGCUGAUGAACAGGCAAAGGGUGCGGAUUAAAAACACAGCAGCUGGAACCCUGGGCUUAAUUGCUGACUUCCAAGAAGAACAUGGCAAUUGGGAGGUGCUAAAAGGAUGUUUUUAAAAUGGUUGAGCAUUUCUGUCUCUGACCACACGAGGUCUGUUGUUUGUGUUUACUCUGCUCUUUAGUUCUCCAAGGAGAGCUGUUGUGCCUAAUAUCACAACCAAACCCCCAGUGAUUCACUCUACAUGGUACAGUGCAUCCAAUGUGUAGGGAUUGUCCUAGGUUCCAGUCCCGGCCACAGGCAAUAAUCAGGCAAAAUGGGCCAGGAAGUGACAGAUGCUGAGUGAGACAGUAAAGUUGAGAAUGGCUGACUUGGGCCAAAGAGGCUUCUUCAGAAGAGAAUGGUGUGAACCCUGAGAGAGGGGAAGGUCGGGGACUCUUGGGAAAUGUUCUACACUGCAAACAGCAGUGCAAAGACCCUGAGCUAGGUCUGUUUGGCCAUUGUUGGGAGUCAGAGCACAGUGGGGAGACAAGGGUAGAGAGAAGGACGGAGAGGUGGGAAGGCUAGACCCAUAGAGAGAAAGACAGAGAGGUGGGAAGGCUAGAUUCAUAGAAAGAAGGAUGGAGAGGUGGGAAGGCUAGACCCACAGAGAGAAAGAUGGAGAGGUGGGAAGGCUAGACCCAUAGAGAGAAGGAUGGAGAGGUGGGAAGGCUAGACCUGCAGGUGCUCUGAGCUUUCUAUGCGGGAAGCAGAAGGUACGACUAUAAUUAAUUUACCUGUGAAAGGACCACUGAUGUGUGUUGGUGAGAGACUAGGGAGAGGGGCUAGGGUAGAGGCUGACAAGGAGCCCAGGAGACAAGUAAAGACAGUGCCUGAACAGCGGCUGGGACCAUUGUGGUGGAAGCAACAUAUAGGCAUGUAUGUAUGUGUGUAUGCACUUGUGUAUAUGUAUAUAUGUCAUAUUUAUAUAUGUAUAUAUGGUUUACAUAUAAAUCUCUUCAUAGUAUUUGUAUUUAUGUAUUUCUCAUGUGUGUAUGCACCGCGGCACCCAUGUAGGAGUCAUGGAAUAACUCAAAGGGGUUGCUUCUCCUCUGCUACCUUGAGAGUGCAGGGGUUAAAACUCAAGCAGCAGGCUUGCCCAUAAGUGCCUUCACUGGCUGAUCCACACUGCCAGCAUCGUGUGUAUUUUUAAGGUAGCAUCAACCCCCUUUCCAACCAGGCACUGCACAUGAACCGUCAGACAACUCAGUUCUCACCAAAGUGCUUAGGUCGCUGGUCUGAGUAACUCGACCUUGAUCUGCGAGAGCCUGGUAGUCAUUUACAUGAAUUACACAGGGUUUGUCAUGGUUGUUGGAAUGAGACUUCUGCUUGUACCUCAAGUUAGCCUUUAACUCCCAAUCCUUCUUCAACCUCUUGAAAGUUGGGGUGUCAGGCAGAGAUGUAUACAGAAUUUUAAAGAAUGAGUUUUACGUUUUAGGAGGUCAGGACAGAGAUCAUCUUCAGCUCUGUCUUAAAGGGCUGGGCAUGGAUAGGGCUCAGGCUAAAGGCAUUUCUCCAUUUAAUCCUGCCUACCUGAGUUUGGAUCCCCAGAACCCAUGUAGGCACUAGACAUGGUGGCAUUCACUGGUAUUCCCAGCAUUCCUGUGGUUAGAUGAGAAGAAGAGACAAAAGAAUGUCCCAGGAGCUUGAGGUGUACACAGUGUAAGCAGUAAACAAGAGAUACUGUCUAAACAGGGCAUAAGGCAGAGACCAGGAUCAAGGCUGUUCCCUGGUCCCUACUCAUUCACUAUGGCAUGAAUGUAUCCUCACACACGACCAUGUAAACACAAACACAACACACACACAGACACACAUACAGACACAUACACAUAUACACACACAUACACACACACAGACACCCACACAUACACACACAUAUACACACACAUACCCACACAUACAUACACAUAUACACACAUACACAUACACACACAUAUACACACACAGACGUAUACACAUACACACACAUACGCACACAGACAUACACACACAUAUACACACACAUAUACACACACAUACAUACACACCAUACCACACACACACAGACACACACACAUACACACAUACAUACACAUACACCAACAUAUACACACACAGAUGCACACACACAACACACACACAUACACACACAUACACACACAUACACACA